ACUUUGAACUUAGAUAUUUUAUUCCCUUCGGUCUGAGUACUUUUAUAAACAUUAAGUGAUUAGAAAUCCUAUUACUUAUUGUAUCAAUGCCAGGAUAACAUAUACUCAUCAUGAAGCUAAUCGUGUGGGGUUUGCCUUGAGCUCCUUAUCAAGUUCUCUUCAGUUUUUCUCUACUCCAGCGUCCUUGCUUUGGAAAGAUUAUAUUGGGGGUUUCAUACCCCUGUAUUGUUAUGUUCUAGUGGCUUUUGCCUCCCUGUUAGCAAAAAAGAUUUGGAUAAUUAUGAGCCAUUUUUUUUUAUUCCUAAGGUUGAGAUCUUGUUUCUUGGAUGUAUGCAUGUAUGUGUAAUAAGUUCUUGAACACAAGGUUUAUUUGUAAUUUACUUCACUUGAAGAUUUAGGAUUUCAAUUAAGGAUACAAAGGUUCAUUCGUUAUUGUUUGUGGAAGUAAACACAAUUAAUUACUUAAGAAAAUGUUUUUGUUUUCCUUCAAACAGUGUUGUUAUUCCUUCAUGUGAGCCUUCA
rnacentral:lncRNA from 1 species